rnacentral:lncRNA from 1 species
UUGAAGCAUCAGAGUCUGUACCCUUUUCUCUGAAUAUUUUGGGAGAUAAUUGGUACAAAGUAAAUAAAAAUCAAUAUUGUCAUUAUUGUCUACUUAGAUAACAAUGCAGUGUCUUCAUUCAUAAUGGAUUGCAGUUCCCCACUCAGGAAGAGGACAUUUUUUUUAAAACUACAUGAUACAACUGAGAGCUUGGAAGCUAUCCAUGCAUAAGUUUUAAAACCCAGCAGCUUCAUGGUUUCCUCCUUCUGUUGGCCUGGCCAGUGGACACAGUGGUCACGUUCCUGGCAUGGAGAUGUCAUUCAUGGUCUCUCAGACCCAAGUGUUACCAGUGAAGGGUGUCCAGGUUCUUGGCGCUUUGAACAAAGAAUUGGACAAAACUCACAAACAAAGCAAGAAAAGAAAGAAGCAACAAAAGCAGAGAUGUAUUGAAAAUGAAAACACACUCCACAGGGUGGGAGCAGGCCGAGCAAGCAGCUCAAGGGCCCAGUUACAGAACUUUCUGGGGUUUAAAUACCCUUUAGAAGUUUCCAUUGGUUACUUGGUGUACACCCUAUGUAUAUGAAGUAGUGGCCUGUGAUCAGUCUGAUUGGUUGGAAGGGACCAAUCAGAAUGCAAACGUCUGAUUAGUUGUGGAAAGUGACCAAUUAGAGGCUGAAGUGAAGUUACAAAGUAAUACUCCCACGCAAAUGAAGACUUGGCCCACAACCAACCUGAUUGGUUGUGAGAGGGGACCAAUCAGAGGGACUUUCAGUUUUUCACCUGCAAUGCAGAAAAAGGGUGGCAGGUGAGGGGUGUUGCAAAGGGAGUAGCCUCUGGUCCUUUUGUUACUUGGGCACUUGGGCGUGGAAAGUGGGGGUUUUCCUUUUGAUUUAGUUCUAGGAAGUCAGCGUGAAUUGGCCUUACAUUCCCUGCCUCCAGACCCUAUUCUCCUGCCUCACAAGUGCUCCUAGGAGCUGUACAUGCCUGUCUUUGUCCCCAUGUAGUCAGCUCGUUACAGGUGGGUCCUGCUGGGUCUUUCGUUCUUGCUUCUCUGCUUCAAGAUGGCUAAUAAGUCCUGGUCCAGUGAGUCCCCAGUGCAGACAUAGAGCAGAAGGGAAGUGGGUCCAGUUGCAUUUCCUGCAGUUUAAUAAAGAACCCUGUGCUCUCUGGCCCAUUACCUAAAGCUGAUAUUGUGCUUGGAACGUGUAGUGUUAUCCAAUCCAGCUUUACCACUGCUAAAGCUGAUACCACGCUUUGAUCCUCUGCUUGCUCAUUUUGCCAAGUUCUUAACUGCGUGGAACUGGAAGGUGAGGGCUGGAUGAUUGAUUUUUCACCCUGCCCCCAAACUCCAACAACCGAAACCAAGGGUUCUUGAAGAGAGAGGGGCAGGGCAGCAACAGGGAGACUGAAACUUGGGGUGGGGGGGGGGCGGGGGGAGGGGGGCGGACGGAAUGUUUUUGAAGUGUGUGUUUGCCUAAGGUGUGUGUAGAAAGGUAGCUACUUUUCAGUCUCUGCCUGCCUUUAAUCCAUUACAAUGUCCUAAUUAAAAACAUUUAAAAAGCUACAUUGGAAAAUGAUCCCUGAGGCUAGAAUGCUGUUGGCACAGUGAAAAAGACGCAAUCAAUAAGUAAACAGGCAAUGUCAGCCCGGAGAGCUUUCAGAACAACAUGCCUACUCGGGGGAAAAAAAAUUACAAGUCGCUUUAGCCUAUUUAAAUAUUUUCCAAGAUCUUUGUUAAAUUUCAGGUAAUAAUAUUUCUUCCUUUGAACAAGCGUUGUAUGUUUGCCUUUGACUGAGAAUGGCCUAGGCUAGAGACCAUUUGGUAUUCAACUUGUGACUAUUUUAGUAUGGGGCUGGACCCCAAAAAUUCAUGCUCAAUGAAAUGAUUUUCACUUACUGAGAUGAAUUUACUUUUUGCUUCCUUCAGCAAUUCAUCAAUCUAAUGGAAGAAAGAGUAGCUAUCAUCAUAAUGAGAAUAGACUUCUACGAGUAUGAGUCAAUGUCAAUACUUUAUUUAAUAAUGCAAAUUCUAUUACUAUAUAUUUGGUCUCAAUCCAAAUUUGCUUUAAAUUGAGUUUCCUUGCCAUUGCACACUCCUAUCUUUCUGAACACACACCACCCCACACACACACCAUACACACUUGUUUCAUUGCGCUUCAUUUUAUUGCACUUCUCGAAGAAUGUGUUUUUUACAAAUUGAAGAUUUGUGGCAACUUUUCAUCGAGUGAGUCUAUUGGCAUCAUUUUUGCAAGAGCAUAUGCUCACUUCCUGCCUCUGUGACAGCAUUUUUUAGCAAUAACAUAUUUUUAAUGAAGGUAUGUACAUUGUUUUUUAGACAUAAUGCUAUUGCACACUUGACUAAAAUGUAGCCUAAGUAUAAUUUUUAUAUGCCAUGGGAAACUAAAAAAAGUGACUUACUUUAUUGUAAUAUUUGCUUUAUUACUUUGGUCUGGAACUGCCUCACACUAUCUCUGAAGUAUGCAUGUAUAGCUUUUCAUAACACAGAUAUCACAUUUGACCAGAUCCUAUUGUUACUGAACAAUGUUGAUGCUAACAUUGAUGAUAUCAAUCACUAUUACUGGAAUCAUUAUCAACAUAUCAAUAAAUAUUUUUAGAACAUUUUGAAAUUGUCAGCUGGGUUUUGGUUAAAUACUUCUUGUCUGAUAUAUUAUAUCCCAAAACAAUAACAGUAGCUGAAAAUACCAGAGAAGAUAUACUUUUUAAAGUAACAUAUUGUCAUAACGUAUAAGUAUCAAAAUUUCAUACUGCAGCAUGACUGACAUAAAGAACACUUUGUUGUUGUUGUUGUUGUUUUGUUUGUUUGUUUGUUUUGAGAUGGAGUCUCGCUCUGUCACCAAGGCUGGAGUGCAGUGGCACAAUCUGGCUCACUGCAACCUCCACCUCUCUGGUUCAAGCAAUUCCCCUGCCUCAGCCUCCAGAGUAGCUGGGAUUACAGGCGCAUGCCACCACGCCUGCCUAACUUUUCUGUAUUUUUAGUAGAGAUGGGGUUUCACCAUGUUGGCCAGACUGGGCUCGAACUCCUG